GAUGAACGCUGGCUACAGGCUUAACACAUGCAAGUCGAGGGGAAACGACGGGGAAGCUUGCUUCCCCGGGCGUCGACCGGCGCACGGGUGAGUAACGCGUAUCCAACCUGCCUCUGACUGAGGGAUAACCCGUCGAAAGUCGGCCUAAUACCUCAUGGUAUCGUCUGCGGGCAUCCAACGACGAUUAAAGAUUUCAUCGGUCAGGGAUGGGGAUGCGUCUGAUUAGCUUGUUGGCGGGGUAACGGCCCACCAAGGCUACGAUCAGUAGGGGUUCUGAGAGGAAGGUCCCCCACAUUGGAACUGAGACACGGUCCAAACUCCUACGGGAGGCAGCAGUGAGGAAUAUUGGUCAAUGGGCGAGAGCCUGAACCAGCCAAGUAGCGUGCAGGAAGACGGCCCUAUGGGUUGUAAACUGCUUUUAUGCGGGGAUAAAGUGAGGGACGUGUCCCUCAUUGCAGGUACCGCAUGAAUAAGGACCGCA
rnacentral:rRNA from 1 species